GGUUUUUUGUUGUUUUAUAAUAAAUCUGGCCUGCUCAGUGUGUUGAUAUAAAUAGCCGCGGUAUUUUGACUGUGCAAAGGUAGCAUAAUCAUUAGUUUUUUAAUUGGAAGCUGGAAUGAAGGGUUUGACGGGGGGAGUCUUUUUGUAAGGGUAAUUUUUGAAUUUUAAUUUAUUGUGAGGGUGCGAUAGUGUAUCUAUUUGACGAGAAGACCCUAUAAAGCUUGAUAUUAUUGUUUGGUAUUUUUGCUAUUAUUUGUUUAGUUGGGGCAAUGGGUGCGAGAUUUUAUUGGCUAUGUUUGUUGAAUUUUUUUAUAGACCUGGUUGGAUCCGCUUAUUGUGAGAUUAAGAGAAGUUACUUUAGGGAUAACAGCGUAAUUGUGCUUGAGAGUUCUUAUUGAUAGUGUAGUUUGCGACCUCGAUGUUGAAUUAGGAGGUCCGGGGGCUGUAGUUGGCUGUUGGGUAAGUCUGUUCGACUUUUAAAUUCCUACG
rnacentral:rRNA from 1 species